rnacentral:lncRNA from 10 species
AGUAUACUAAGGACCUGGAGGCAAUCUUGCCAGACUUCCUCUGCAGGCAUCUUUAAUUUUCUUGUAUCAUAAAUUUUUAUCUUACAUUCUAUACAAGGGGGAAUCACUGAGCUGAUGAGUGAGCCUAACCAUUUGCCCGACACCAUUGCAGAAACUGGUUAUUUUACCAAGGCUUUGACUGGAAUAGUGUGCUUCCCUUUAAGGAAUCAAACUUGACUUUUGGAGCUAAUAAAAGCCCCUUGGGAAAACUGCUCUCUUACCUUGUCUACACAGUCUCUGGACAGAGUUCCUGACCUGUGUAUCCAGAAUGAGUGAUCCUUGAAAAUCUCAAAUUGGAUCAUGUCCUUCAGCUACUUAAAACCUGUCAAUGAUGACCAGUUGUACUUCAAGUAAAAUCCAAAUCCUCUCAAGGUACCAAGGGGAGAAGGAAGAAACAAUACAAGAAUUGGCCCCAGGAAAUAUUUAUUCUAAAUCCGGCACAUGCAAAACCCCGAGAUAGCCAUCAAGGACAAAAAUCGUCACUGGGAGGUGGGAAGCCCUGAAGGAAAAGCACUAGUCUUGGUGUCAGAAGACCUAUGCUUGUGUUUUCACGCUGACAGGACAUGUGUAUCUCAACAAGUAUCUUCAUCUUCUGAACCUAUUUCCUCAUCUAUAAAAGGUCACUAACACCCAUUUUGAAAAACCACAUGUAGGUUAGGAGGAUUCAAUGUAUGUGAAAGAGUUCUUCAAACUCCUAAGCACUUGCUGUGCUGAUGGUAAAGGUGAUAAUGAGGAGGAAGGAGUGUCUGCUAUGGGAAAACCACUGUCCUAAAACUUUUAAAUACAUUGUUAAUUAAUCUGCACCAAUAAGUCUACGAAUUAGAUUCUAUCAUAAUCUCAAUUUUACAGAUGAGGUUCAGAGAGAUGACAAAUUUUCCCCAAUAUCACACAGUCAUUUUAAUGGUGGAACAGAAAUUUUAACCCAAAUCUAUCUGGCUCCAUAGUUAACACUCUUAACUACCAUAUUAUAUGGCCCCAAUCUAACUCCCUUAUCUUUGGGAAAUACUUUUAUUUAUAGGUCAAUGACACAGAGUUACAGAUCCUGGGUACAGCCUGGGUCUGUAACUUACUCAAUGUAUAAUGCUGGGUAAGUCUUAACCUCUCUGUGCCUCAUCUGUUAAAUGAAAGAGUUGAACUCUAGGAUCUCUCAAGUUCAUUCCCUUUGAGUUCAUCUAACAUUAUACGGUCUUCGUUCUUGUUGGUACAAUAGUUUAUUAGGUAAUUGUUUAUUAGAUAAUUAACAGUCCAUGUCACCUUGGCUAUCUGCCAAAUGAAUAGAAGCACACUACAGAUAUUAGAGAGGGAGGGUUGAAGGGAAAAGAUUUCCAAGGGCUUUGGCAGGUGGAGAAGGCUUUUUGGAGAGGAUAGGCCUGAACCGUUUCACCAUUAAAAGCACUUUUAUUAUUUUUCUCCAUAGUCACUAUAUUUACAAAGAUUUUAUGUUUACUUAACAUUGUGUCAUGGUCUGGCAAAAGAGAGCAUCUGCAGCCCCUCCAGGAAAGAAGAGAAAUCCUGUAAUCCCUAGAGAGAGUCAGGCAGGAGGACAAAAUUAGUGGCUGCAUGCUUACUGCAGACCAGCACGGUAUGAGAACAGUAUUUUGUCAUCAGCUGUGAGUCAGCUAAAAGUUGAAGCCAAAUGUUCAAGCAUUGUUAGGAGUUGAGUCUUUUCUUUGAUGAAGCAUAUGGGAGCCUCAUUCAUCCACACUUUCCUUGCCUCCACAUCCUUGCCAUUAUGGGAAUGGCAUAUAAGCCAGUGAUGCUCAACCAGAAGUGACUUUGUCCCUUAUGAACUAUAGGCGAUAUCCGAAGACAGACUAAAUGCCAUGACUUGGCUGGGGAGGAAGUGGGAGCUUGUUCCUGAUAUCUAGUGGAUAGAGGCCAACAAUACUUAGGGCAGGCUCCCCACCCUCCAUCCCCAGCAACAGAGAAGUAUCUGGUCCAAAAUUUCAAUAGUGCUGAGGCUGAAAAACUCUGAUACAAGGGAACAGCAGUUAC